rnacentral:rRNA from 1 species
GACGAACGCUGGCGGCGUGCUUAACACAUGCAAGUCGAACGGACAGGCCCUGCUUUUGUGGGGUGCUCGAUUGGCGAACGGGUGAGUAACACGUGAGUAACCUGCCCUUGACUUUGUGAUAACUUCAGGAAACUGGGGCUAAUACCGGAUAGGAUCUCCUGCUGCAUGGUGUGGGUUGGAAAGUUUCGGCGGUUGGGUCUGGUCUCGCGGCUUCUCCGCUUGUUUGUGGGGUAGUGGCUUACCAAGGCUUUGACGGGUAGCCGGCCUGAGAGGGUGGACGGCGACAAGGGGACUGAGAUACGGCCCAGACUGCUACGGGAGGCAGCAGUGGGGAAUAUUGCACAAUGGGCGGAAGCCUGAUGCAGCAACGCCGCGUGCGGGAUGACGGCCUUCGGGUUGUAAACCGCUGUCGCCGGUGACGAAGAGUGAGUGACGGUAAUGGGUAAAGAAGCACCGGCUAACUACGUG